UAUUUUCUCUUCGAGCAUCUUCCAUUUAAGCGAAAAUCACGCUUUUUCUAUUCGCAAAUCCCCCAUUUAAACAAAAAUCAUGCAUUUUCUCUUCAGAAACCUCCAUUUAAUGCAAAAAUCACGCGUUUUCUCUUCGAAAAUCCCCCAUUUAAGCAAAAAUCUCAUGUUUCCUAUUCGCAAAUUUCCCAUUUAACCUGAAAAUCACGCGUUUUCUCUUCGAGAAUCCCCCAUUUAUGUGAAAAUGAUGUGUUUUCUCCUCGCAAAUCCCUCAUUUAAGCAAAAAUCACGCGUUUUCUCUUCGCAAAUCCCCCAUUUAAGCGAAAAUCACGUUUCCUAUUCGCAAAUUUCCCAUUUAACCUGAAAAUCACGCGUUUUCUCUUCGCAAAUCCCCCAUUUAUGCAAAAAUCACGCGUUUUCUCUUCGCAAAUCCCCCAUUUAAGCAAAAAACACGUGUUUUCUCUUCACAAAUGCGCCAUUUAAGCAAAAAUCACUCCUUUUCCCUCCAGGAAUCUUCCAUUUAACCAGAAAAUCACGUGUUUUCUUUUCAGAAAUCCCCCAUUUAAGUGAAAAUUACGCGUUUUCUCUUUGAGUAUCCCCCAUUGAAGCGAAAAUCACGCGCUUUUCUCUUUAGAAAUCCCCCAUUUAAGCAAAAAUCAUGCGUUUUCUCUUCGAGAAUCCCCCAUUUAUGCGAAAAUGAUGCGUUUUCUCCUCGCAAAUCCCCCAUUUAAGCGAAAAUCACGCGCUUUUCUCUCCAGAAAUCCCACAUUUAAGCGAAAAUCACGCGUUUUCUAUUCGCAAAUCCCCCAUUUAAGCAAAAAUCACGCCUUUUCUCUUCGAGAAUCCUCCAUUUAAGCGAAAAUCAUGUGUUUUCUCAUCAAGAAUACCACAUUUAAGCAAAAAUCACGCGUUUUCUCUUCGCAAAUCCCCCAUUUAAGCGAAAAUCACGUUUCCUAUUUGCAAAUUUCCCAUUUAACCCGAAAAUCUCGCAUUUUCUCUUCGCAAAUCCCCCAUUGAAGCGAAAAUCAUGACUUUUCUCUUCGAGAAUCCCCCAUUGAUGCGAAAAUCAUGCGUUUUCUCUUUGCAAAUCCCCCAUUUAAGCGAAAAACACACGUUUUCUCUUUGAGAAUCCCCAGUUAUGCAAAAAUCACGCGUUUUCUCUUCGCGAAUCCCCCAUUUAAGCGAAAAACACACGUUUUCUCUUCGAAAUCCCCCAUUUAAGUGAAAAUUACGCGUUUUCUCUUUGUGAAUCCCCCAGUUAAGCGAAAAUGAUGCGUUUUCUCUCCAAGAAACCUCCAUUUAACCAGAAAAUCACGCGUUUUCUCUUCAAAAAUCCCCCAUUGAAGCGAAAAUCACGUUUUCUACUCGCAAAUCCCCCAUUUAACCUGAAAAUGACGCGUUUUCUCCUUGCAAAUCCCCAUGUUAAGCGCAAAACACACGUUUUCUCUUCGCAAAUCCCCCAGUUAUGCAAAAAUCACGCGUUUUCUCUUCGAGAAUCCCCCAUUUAACCCUAAAAUCACGUGUAUUCUCUUCAGAAAUACCACAUUUAAGCAAAAAUCACAAGUUCUCUUCCAGCAUCCCCCAUUUAAGCGAAUAUUACGCAUUUUCUCUUCG
ensembl:lncRNA